ensembl:lncRNA
CCGCCCGCGCCGACACCGAAAGUGCCUCCCUUCCCCCGGCUCAGGGCCGUCUCGGAGCGGCCGGAACUCGAUGCUUCCCCAGGGCGUACGUGCUUACGUGCUUGCGUGCGCGCGCGGCCCUUAACGCGGCCGCCCGGCGCCUCGCCCCGCGUACGCCGCAGGCANGCGGCUCCCGAGGCGGCUGGCAGUGCGCAGGCGCGCCCCCCGUGGGCCGGGCCGUGGAGGGGCGUCCUGGUCCCCGCCCCGCGGGCAGGCUGACUGCGGCCGGCGCGUCCCGGGGUGGUCCGCCCCCGGAGAGUGAGGAUUCCGUGCAGGCUUGUUACAAUACACAGAGAGGAGAGAGANNNNNNNNNNNNNNNNNNNNNNNNNNNNNNNNNNNNNNNNNNNNNNNNNNNNNNCCCCCGCCCCCGCGCUGCCCCAGGCUGGGUUUCUGCAGUAGCUCCCUGUUCAUGCUGGGCCCUGGGCUGGCGGUUCUCUCCACCCCCGCCCUGGUCUCCCCCAGGACAUCCCAUACAGGUCUCUCCUCACCUCUGUGAGGGGUCCCGUCACUCUCAUAUAUGACCUGGCCUUUCAUAUACACUUGUUCUGUUCCUUGGUGCUGUUUCCGCCUGCCAAGCUCCUACUCACUCUCAAGACCCCAGUCCCAUAGCCCCUGCUCUGGAAAGCUGCCUGGAACCACAUGCCACCCCUUCCUGGGACCCUUGCACUUCUUGCGCGCGCGUGGGGGGGGGGCUCUUUGUGUUCCACCCCUGGGGCUGCGAGGAUUUGUGUGUAGACCUGUGUACCCCAGUGGCCUGCUGUAAGGCGUGCUUCUACCUGGGGAGCCAGCCCGCGUGCACGUGUUUGAGCAACUGCAGCAGCUUCUAGGAACAGUACUUCUGAGCACACAGUCCACUAGGUUUUGUUGCUUUGCUGUGAAGAUGCCAGAUGCCACACACCUGCAGCCUUACCACGACCAGGGGAGGAUGAGGAUGGGGCUAUGUUCUCUGGGCUGCCCGGGUCGCCCCCAACACCUGCUGUGUUUGUCUGUAGAUUCUCAUUGAGGGGGUCCAUUGGGGGUCCUUGUCUUGCUCCAGUCAUCCUGAGUACCUGCUCUCUGCAGGCCUCCCAGCCGGUGUCAGGCUGUAGGCGGUGGCUGGGCGCCACCUGCUGGGACAGCGUUGGGGUUGCCGCAGAGCUGGCCAAGGGUCCCUGUGGUGGGAGUGAGCAGCCUCCGGAAGAGAGCCAAUGGCCUACAAGCCUGAGAACCUUGACUCUGGCCUUUGUGAAGUUUGUUGGCUGUAAAUGAGGGAAGGACAACUGUCACCCUUGGGUCACGUUCUUGUAGCUUACUGGUCUUUGGCAGAGGUCAAGUGAGACUGAAAGCUUAUGGUGAACCGAUGUUAGCGGUUGUGUGCUCAANCGCGGCGCACCCCCCCCCCCCCCCCCCCCACACACACACCCUGUGCCCUGGGCUUGGCUUAGUUGAGAGGCCUGAGCAAACCGCCUCAGCUUACGGAGGGGCUCAGCCUCCGUGGUCUCCACACCCAGUGCCACUGUCCCACCCCUCCAGCAGACAUGGGCUGGAAUUCCCGCCCACUGACCCUGUGCUGCCCAGCUAACCCCGGGCCACUCCACUGACCCUGAGCCACCCAGUUU